rnacentral:rRNA from 1 species
UACGAAGGGAGCUAGCGUUGUUCGGAAUCACUGGGCGUAAAGCGCACGUAGGCGGACGUGUCAGUCAGGGGUGAAAUCCCGGAGCUCAACUUCGGAACUGCCUUUGAUACAGCACGUCUUGAGUCCGGAAGAGGUGGGUGGAAUUCCUAGUGUAGAGGUGAAAUUCGUAGAUAUUCGGAAGAACACCAGUGGCGAAGGCAGCUCGCUGGGACGUGACUGACGCUGAGACGCGAAAGCGUGGGGAGCAAGCAGG